GACGGAGGGGGCAAUCGUUGAUCGGAUUUAUUGGGCGUAAAGCGCACGCAGGCGGUCUGUCAAGUCGGAUGUGAAAUCCCCGGGCUCAACCUGGGAACUGCAUCCGAAACUGGCAGGCUAGAGUCUUGUAGAGGGGGGUAGAAUUCCAGGUGUAGCGGUGAAAUGCGUAGGGAUCGGGAGGAAUACCGGUGGCGAAGGCGGCCCUCUGGACAAAGACUGACGCUCAGGUGCGAAAGCGUGGGGAGCAAACAGG
rnacentral:misc_RNA from 1 species